CUUUUGUUUUUCAUUUGUUAGUUUUGUAGUUAACCUAUACUCUCUCCGGUCAAUAUUAUAGGGAAAAAAAAAAUCACUUUUUAGGUUUAUCGGAAAAUAAAAGUUUUUAGUCUAUAUUAUAGUUUAGAUACAUUAGUUUUGCAAUGAACCUAAAAAAUUAUUUUUUGCUUAUAAUAGUGACAUCCGGUCACUAUUAUAAUAAAAACUAUUCACGAGUUGACUCGGGUCAUUGUAAGCCCUAUGUUAAACAAAUUCAAAAUUAGAAAUUGAAUUUGUAUUAUAAAAAAGUAAUAAUUUAUAAAAAUUUUAAGAAAUUGAAUGUAUGAUUAUUGCUAAUGAAUUGACCCUUAUGUUUUUCCUCUAUUGUUUUUUUUUUUUCAAUAAUAAAGAGUGAUGAAACCGAUACUUGAGUCUCUUAACCAUUUGGUCAUGGAUUCGAUCCCUGACGGUGCGUAUGGAGAAAUAUUUGUUGGGAGAGGUCAACCCCUUAAAUGGAUUUCAGUUACCGUAAGGGGAUUAAUCUCUGCAAUUACGUGCGGAGGAUACCUUUGGUUUAAAAAAGAAAAAAGAGUGAUGAAACCGAAAGAAAACGGUUUACAUAGGAAUGAAAUGAGGGGUCGUUAUCCCCAAACAUUACUGAGAAUCAAAUGACUAUAUUCAAUUGGACAAGACUCAAAACAGAGUAUAUCAGAAUCAAACGUGCAACCAAUGUUGGCGAGAGCAUAUUGAUUAGCUUCAUGAUAAGAAUGUUAAACCAUCACUUCCCACUCCAACUCUUGCAUCCGACAAAUUCUCCCGAUUAAGGAACUUUCUAGAGAACUCCCCUCCACUCUUGUCCUAAGCACUUGAGCCAUCACCAUAGAAUCCACAUUGAAUUCAAUCUUUGUAAAUCCCAAUCUUCUAGCAUUUGUCAAAACUUCUAAACACCCUUCACAACUCUGCAACAUAUCUGCUACACACUCCUAAGAAUUGUGUUUUGGUAGUCUUCCUCCCAAUUUUCCUCCAAAUGUACACGCAUUAUAUAUUGAUGUGACACUCAACUCUUAACUUCUUCUUUUUCUAAUACACAUGUCUAUAUAAAAAAUUAAAACUUCAAAAAAUGCCAAAAUGUUUGAUAGUUGACACCCUAAUUAAAAGUUGAGGCUUGCUAUAUAGUGAUAGAGAUUGAUUAAGGCCCAAAAGCACAAACCAUAUAUUUUGAUCCAAGCCCAUGAUCCCUUCCAUUACAUUUUCAAGUAAUAUAUUUGUCAUGUUGAUCUUAACACUUGUCUUGUUGCAUAUUUGCAUGUAGUGCACUUGUCAUGUUGAUUGUAACACUUGUCUCCAUGUAGUAGGCCAUGAUAGUUACUCUUCUCCUAUAAAUAGGAGCUUCACAAUGUACUUUAAAUAUUCAAGCAUUAUUAAUCAAAUUGUGUUUCUCUUUUUGAGAUAUUGAGAAUGAAUUCUCUCUUGGCUCCUAAGCCAUUUUAGUAUCAGAGUAAAGUUUCAAAUCCGGAGCUGAGUUUUAGUGAGAAAAUCAACAGAAAGUUUGAGUUGUCUUGAGGUUCUCUUAGUGCAAAAGAGCAGCCUCCUUUAAAACUUUACUUUGCGGCCAUUUUUUCGCAAAACCAACACUGCCAUCGUGUUCAGGAGGUUUGAAAACCUCCGAAUACGAAAUUUCACGGCCAACGACUAGUUCACGCGCCCACACGCGCCACCACCGAAAGUCACGCACCUGCGAUGGAAGAAAACGUGACACGCCCUUCCACAUCAGCCACAUGUAUCUUUCUGCCACAUUAGCCGUUGCCUAGUAAGCUCACCACAUCAUUUUUCCAGCCCGAUCACAUCUUACCACGUGUCACCCUGCCAUCUCAACAAUGCCAUGUCAGCAAAAACUGCAAAAAUACAGUUUCGCCCAAAACUUCCUUUAUUUACAAUUUCAUCCCAUACUUUCAAAAUUUGUGUUUUGACCCCUGAACUUUCAGAAAAUUCAAAUUGGCCCCAAAACCUUUUAGAAUUCCAAAUUUGCCCUUGAUUUUUCUGGAAUUCACAAUUCUGCCUCAAUAAUUUCUGAAAUUACGAUUUUACCCUGACCUUAAAAAAAAACCUCAAAAUGCCUCCAAGAAGACAAAACGAGAAAACUCUAUGAGACAUUCAAAUGGAAGAAAUGAGAAGACAAAUCCAACAAUUACAAGAGAUUGUGGAUGGUUAACAAGUUCUAUUGGGUGAGUACCAACUAGAAGUCGACACAUCCAGUAGCGACUCUUCCUCAACUAGAUGUCGACGACCACCUCGAAGAUCAUCCAGAAGUGACGACAUAAGGGUAGAAAUUCUUGAUUUUGAAUGAAAACUUCAACCCGAUGAGUUUGUGGAUUGACUUCAAACUGUUGAGCGAGUGUUCGAGUACAAAGAAGUACUUGAAGAGAAGAAAGUAAAGAUCAUUGCAGUCAAAUUAAAGAAGCAUGUCUCCAUAUGGUGGGAUAAUCUUAAAAAGAAGCAUGAACGUGAAGGAAAAAGAAAGAUCUAAGACUUAAAAAAACUGCGGCGAGAACUAACAAGUUCUAGAAAAGUUGAGGACUAGCAAGUACUAAAAAAUGCACCAACAAAUUCAUGAAUAUCACAUUUCAUCAACUAACAAGUUUUUACCUGCCCAUUACUACCAAGAUAACUUCAUUCAACUACAAAAUCUUCGCCAAAAGAAUUUGUCGGUGGAAGAAUAUACUAGAGAGUUUGAAAAGUUGAUGAUGAAGUGUGAUAUUCAUGAAAAUGAGUAACAAACACUGACAUUGCUCAUCAUGUCCAACUCCAACAAUAUUGGUCAGUUGAUGAUGUUAUCGGCCCUGCAAUACGAGUUGAGGAACAGUUACCAAAAGGGUCGUCCUACAAGAAUUUUUCCUUUAUUGAAACAAGCCACCAAUUGAACAACCUAGUUCCUCAAAUAAGCCUUUACCUAAUCCCUCCGUUCAAAAUGAAACCAAGGUUGUCCAAUGUUUCAAAUGUCAAGGCUUUGGACAUAUAGCCUCUGAUUGUCCUAACCGAAGAACAAUCACCAUUAUCAAAGGAGAAACUUAUGAAGAGUCCGAAGAAGCUCGAGACGAACUUGAAAAUGAAGAGUUGGAACCAGUUUAUGAUGAAGAAUUCGUUGUUGCCGAUCAUGGUGAGUCAUUGAUGAUUAGAUAGAGCUAUCAUAAAACUAUCAUAUCCUACUUCAAUCCAUUGUUUGGUGCGCCAAUAGGAAAGGAUAAAGUAAACCUAUUUCAAAUCCUAUCAUAUUGCUCCUUUGUUAUUUUAAUCCUUAAUUUUUGGUGGGUUACCAACCUGAUAGCAUAAAACUAUCAGGCGUGUAUUUCUCUUCUCACGGAACCCUUCUUCGAUUCCCAACAAAUCCUUUGUUUCAAUAAUUUUCCUAAUUUUUUUCUUUCAAUAAUUUCCCUAAAUUUUAUACUCUGUUCCUAUUUCAAUCGCCGCUAGUUAUAUAUUGGGUUUAUUUCAUUCUCCUUCUUUCAAUAAUUUUCCUAAUUCUUAAAUCUCUGUUUUAUUUCAAUCGUUACAAAAAAUUGCUACUACCAUAAUCAUUUUCUUUACGCAUCUAUUUGUUCCUUCUACAAUUGCUAUGGUGUUGUUUGUAUUCCUAAUCGCUACGGUACAGCUCGUUCGUCUUUUUGUUUCUUUGAUAUUUAAAAUAAUAAGUGUGUACCAAACACAUGAUAAGAUAAAAUAAUACUAUCCCCUUUCUUAUCAUAUAUACACCAAACAUAUGACAGGAUAAGUGUCUAUCCUGCCACUAUCCUAUCAUAUCACUAUCCAGCUCCUUAUCAUAUCUUGUCUCUAUUUUAUCCUGCGCACCAAACGAGCCCUAAUGCUCCUCUAGAAGCAUCCUCUUUGAAGGAAAAGAAAAAGCCUCCCAUCUUGAAAAGGUUUCACCACCCAAUUUCUUCACGUGGCAACAGGGAGAUUUUCCACCUCCAUGAUUUCUUUAUGUUGCAAGAAUCAUUACUUGAUUCCCAUCAAUUGCUAUUUUUCCCAGUCCCUAAUUUGUUUCAGAUUCAUCUCGUUAGAUUCUUCCUUUCUAUUAAGUUCGGUUGCAAAUUUGAAGAGUGAAAAUGGCAGAAGUUCGCUAAGUAUGUAUGAUGUUUCUUAUGGGUUCAUGUGUAAUUUUUGGAAGACUGAAAUUUGAGUGUGUUGGUCACGAGGGAGCAGCCGGCAUCAUCCACAUUGGGUUUAAAGUGAGUUGGACACCACACUCUUACCCAAAACCUUAAAGUGUUAGGUUUAUGGGUCAUUUCAUUUAUAAAGUGUUAAACCUCCACUUUUCUAAGUAAUGUGAGACUUAACCACUCACACUUGUCACAACAGAGUGAAAUAAAGACAAGGAUUAAAGAGGUUUGGAGAAAUUGAAGAAGCUCAAAUUUUUCACUAUUUUCAUCAAAUGUUUUGUUUGGUGAUCAAAUUAACCAGGGAGUUGUACGAGUAUGAGUUUAUUGGGACGAUUGUUGAAGAGGUCUUACGAAAGAUAAAACUUGUUGCCUUACCUGUUGGUGAUUUCUUAGUUGGACUAGAGCCCCAAAAGGAACAUGUGACUUCGCUUUUGAAUAUUGGGUCUGAUGAUGAAGUCAACAUGCUAGGGAUCCAUGGAAUUGGUGGAAUAGGAAAAACGACUCUUGCUUUAGCAGUUUAUAAUUUGAUUAGCCAUCAAUUUCAAGUUUCUUGUUUUCUUGAAAAAGUCAGAGAAAAUUCAGACAAAAAUGGAUUGAUUUAUCUCCAAAAGAUCCUUCUGUCUCAAAUUGUUGGAGAUAAGAAUAUUGAGAUAACAAGUGUUAGACAAGGAAUUUCAGUAUUUCAACAGAGGCUCAACCAAAAGAAAGUUCUUUUACUUCUAGAUGAUGUCGACAAUGAGGAGCAAUUACAGGCUAUUGUUGGAAAAUCUGAUUGGUUUGGUCUUGGAAGUAGAGUCAUCAUCACAACUCGGGACAAACGAUUACUAACAUGUCAUGGGGUUGAACGUACAUAUGAGGUGAAGGGUUUGAAUAACAAAGAUGCGUUUGAGUUGCUUAGAUGGAAAGCUUUUAAAAGUGAAAAGACUAACAAAGAUUUGUCAGGUUAUGUUCAAGUUUUAGAACGUGCUGUAGCAUAUGCUUCAGGUCUUCCACUUGCUUUGGAAGUCAUAGGUUCUCACUUUUUUAAAAGGACAAUAGAGGAAUGUAAAUGUUCACUAGAUCAAUGUGAAAGAGUUCUUGAUAAAAAGAUCCAAGUGACACUGCAGUUGAGCUUUGAUGCUUUGGAGAAAGAAGAGAAGUCUGUUUUUCUUGACAUUGCCUGUUGCUUGAAAGGAUAUAAAUUGACAACCGUCGAACGAAUACUUCAUUCUCAUCAUGGUUAUAGCAUUAAAAAUCAUAUUAAUGUGUUAGUGGAAAAAUCUCUCAUAAAAAUAAGUGAGUCUGGUAAUGUGACAUUACAUGAUUUGAUAGAGGAUAUGGGAAAAGAUAUUGUUAGACAAGAAUCUCCGGAUCCUGGGGAACGCAGUAGGUUAUGGGCCUCUAAAGAUAUAAAUGAGGUUUUAAAAGAAAAUAAGGGAACAAGUAAAAUUGAAAUCAUAUAUUUGGACGGUUGGAUUAAAAUAGAAAGGGAUGGAGAAGCUUUCAAAAAGAUGGAAAAUCUCAAAACACUGAUUAUUAACGGGGGUUUUGAUGGAAAUUUCAAACAUCUUCCAAAUAGUCUAAGAGUAGUGGAUUGGCAUUGUCGUUCACCAUUUCAAUCUUACCCCCGUACAUCUAAUCAAUUUGAGAACGUGGACUUUCUCAAAAAUAGUCGAAGCCCACGGGAUUGGUAUCGCACUGGAACAUUUAAUCCAUUUGCGAAGGUGGACUUUCUCAAUAAGAAGUUCCAGAAUAUGAGAAUUUUAAAUUUAGAUUACGAUAGAUUACAAAUACCUGACCUAUCUAAUCUCCCAAAUUUAGAAGAACUGUCAAUUCAAAAUUGUUGGAACAUCUUUACAAUUGAUAUAUCAGUUGGUUUUUUGAGUAAUCUUAAAAUCUUGAGAAUUAUAAAUUGCAAAUAUGUCAAAAGUGUUCCACCACUCGAUUGCCCUUCCCUGGUAGAACUGGAUCUUUCAUAUUGUUUUAGUCUAGAAAGUUUUCCUCUCACGGUGAAUGGAUUUGUUGGAAAUCUUAAAAUCUUGAGGCUUGAAAAGUGCAGCAAUAUCAGAAUUAUUCCACUUCACAUGUUACAUUCUCUAGAAGAACUCAACCUUAAUGAUUGUACUAGCCUCGAGAGUUUUUCACAUGUGGUAGGGUUGGGGGAAAAACUUAAAACAAUGAGUUUUAGAAGUUGCAUCAACCUAAUCAGUAUUCCACCUCUCAAGUUGACUUCUCUUGAAAAACUUGAUCUUUCGGAUUGUACCAGUCUUCAUAAUUUUCCACUUGUGGUUGACGGGUUUCUUGGAAAACUUAAAACCAUGCGUCUUGAAAAUUGUCACAAUAUCAAGAGUAUUCCACCUCUGAAGUUGGAUUCACUAGAAACACUUGACCUUGCAUAUUGUUACAGGCUCGAGAGUUUUUUAGUUGGAGUGGACGAAUAUCUUCUAAAUCUUAAAAACUUGUUUGCUACAAAUUGUCAAAAUUUGAGGUGUAUCCCACGUCUCAAGUUGGAUUCACUAAAAACACUUGACCUUUCACAUUGUUAUAGCCUCGAGAGUUUUCCAGGUGCGGUGGAUGGGUUGUUGGAAAAUAUUGAAUACUUGAAUAUUGAACGGUGCAUCAUGCUUAAAAGUAUCCCAUCGCUCAGGGUGACUUCGUUGAAAGAGUUCAAUCUUUCACAUUGUCUAAGUCUACAAAGUUUUCCAGAAAUAUUGGGAGAAAUGACAAAUACAACAGAAAUUCACUUGGAUAAUACUCCCAUAAAAGAAUUGCCUUUUCCAUUUCAAAGUCUUAUUCCGCCUCAAACAUUACGCCCAAUGAAAUCUUCACAUGUAGAAUAUCUCAGUCUCUGUGACAGCAAACUUUCAGAUGAAUAUUGGGCAAUAAGUUUCAUGUUGUUUGCUAAUUUGAAAGAAUUACACCUAGCUAAUAAUCAAUUCACAGUUCUUCCUAAAUCCAUGGAAAAAUGUCAUUUUUUACGGAGGCUUGUCUUGGAUGAUUGUGUGGAACUUCAAGAAAUUAAAGGGAUUCCUCCUUGCUUAAAAGUGUUAUCUGCACUAAACUGCCAAUCGUUGACUUUGUCAAGCAAAAGCAAAUUACUGAAUCAGGUUAUGAUAUAUUUAGUUUUUAUUUGUAAUGUAAUUGAUAUUCUUCUUGAUAUUGUUAAACUUACGUUAAUUAUUUAUGACGAACAGAAAUUACAUGAGGCUGGAAACACUUGCUUCCUCUUACCACGAGCAAAGAUUCCAGAGUGGUUCGAUCACCAAUUCUCAGCGGGAUUGUCCAUUUCUUUCUGGUUUCGUAACAAGUUCCCUGCCAUGGUUCUCUGUGUUGUUUCUCCAUUGACAUGGUGUUUUCACAUUACAGUUUUAAGAGUGAUCAUCAACGGUGAUACAUUUUUCUAUACACCUGAUUUGAAUGCAAGGAGACCACGGCCGGAUACAUAUCAUUUGCAUCUUUUUCAUAUGAAAAUGGAAAAUUUCAAGGAUACUAUGGACAAAGCACUUUUAGAAAAUAAGUGGAACCAUGCAGAGGUUGACUUUGGAUUUCCUUUCAUGUAUAGUGGAAUCCAUGUAUUGAAAGACAAAAGUAGCAUCGAGGAUUUUCAAUUGACCAACCCAGAGAUUUAAUUGUACUAAUAUUGAGUUCACUUGGGAUGUUGAAGUUGGAAUUGCGAGGGCAAAAUCAUAAAGUGCGCAUUUAGAGAGGUAGCAGAGAACCUUGGCCGAAAAAACUUUUUAAACCCCAUGAUUUCCGAGAUGCAAAAUAUUCAUGUGCGGAGAUGGAAAAUGAGCUGCAUGAAAGGUUAGCCUUGGUGGAGAAAAGUUAUGAGCUAGAAGAACAGAUCAAAUGCAUUGAAGCUCACACAUUUUCUUUUGAAUCAGAAGAGAACAUAGUUAUCAGAAAAGAGAUAUAUCUUUUAGGAACCUUAAGCUAAGGGAAAAAGCACCUCAUGUGCAUCAUUUGGCAAGCAUAGUGGAAGAAGGGUAUACAGAUCUGAGUGGGGUAAAAGUGGAGAAGGAAUUGUUAUUGAGGAGAUUAUUUAACAUGCAAAAAAUUUAAUGGCUUGCCUAA